rnacentral:misc_RNA from 1 species
UGGUAGGUACUGUGCUGUCAGG